AGUCUGUUACUGUGUUUUGUGGACGCUCUGGAGGGUGUGCUACUCCCAAGUUCACAGAGACUCCAUGUUAAGUAAUGUUAGCCACGCAGUUUCAUGUCUCAAUUCACGGUAACAUCCAACGAGGCACAACAGCAGAUGGCAUAAACUUUUUCAGUUUUUCUCUGUCGGAGUAUACCUUCAAACCGGUUUCAGCACCUGCUGACAGAUUACACCGGCGAGCUGCGAAUAUACUCCAAGAAACGAAAUCAUCAACCUAUCACCCAACAUAGAGGACAUCAAAACCAGAUGGCCUGCUCUAUUUGAGCCCUCUCAAAUCCAGGAUGAGUUUCACAGAAUCACAAUGGUGCAUCUUGAAUCAAAGUUCAUGUCUAAGCUGGAUGAAUACACUCCGAGGCUUCUGAACAUCUUCCACUCCAAAGGUGGAACCAUGGGGUUGAGGUUGCAGGCCAUCCUACUCAAGGCUCCAAGCAACCAUAGCAUCAGCAUGACCAGAGAUGUUGUCAUUCGGUGUUUGAUGGUGUACCUUGGGAAUCC